UACGUAGGGGGCUAGCGUUGUCCGGAUUUAUUGGGCGUAAAGAGCGUGUAGGCGGCCAUGUAGGUCCGGUGUGAAAACUCGAGGCUUAACCUCGAGAUGUCAUCGGAAACCAUUUGGCUAGAGUCCGGAAGAGGAGAGUGGAAUUCCUGGUGUAGCGGUGAAAUGCGCAGAUAUCAGGAGGAACACCGGUGGCGAAGGCGGGUCUCUGGGAAGUAACUGACGCUGAGAAGCGAAAGCAUGGGUAGCAAACAGG
rnacentral:rRNA from 1 species